UCUACGGGACGCAGCAGUGAGGAAUAUUGGUCAAUGGGCGGGAGCCUGAACCAGCCAAGUCGCGUGAGGGAAGACGGUCCUAUGGAUUGUAAACCUCUUUAGGCGGGGAGCAAGCGUGCGUUCGUGAACGCGCGUCGAGAGUACCCGGAGAAAAAGCAUCGGCUAACUCCGUGCCAGCAGCCGCGGUAAUACGGAGGAUGCGAGCGUUAUCCGGAUUUAUUGGGUUUAAAGGGUGCGUAGGCGGACUGUUAAGUCAGCGGUAAAAGCCCGGGGCUCAACCCCGGCGAGCCGUUGAAACUGGCUGU
rnacentral:rRNA from 1 species